GAAUUCAGUUUAUAAUUCUGCUCUUCCUGAAGCAAACAAAUGAAACUUGUUUUCUUUUUGUUAGAUUAAAAAACUGAAACUUUCUUUUCUUUUCAGAAACUUGUGGGAGACCCUCCGCUCGGCACACUAAGUUCUAGUGUACCCAGCGACCCCCUGUCCAGUAUCUAUUUUGUGUUGUGUGAAUUGAUUUGAAACGAACUGGACAAUCGCAGCCUCAAUGUGAAAUAAUGAACCUGGCAGCCUAUGACUUUGUUUUUGUCUUUCAUUACUCUGUAUUCUUUAUGUGUUCAAUUCUGCUCGUUGCUUUUGGAGAAUGGAUUUUUAUACUUUUUA